CUGGGAUUACAGAUGUGAGCCACCAUACCCAGCUGAUCCUCAAUUCUUAACAGACAUAAGAUGAUUUAUACUAGAGAAACUCUACAAACCUGAAAGAUGUGACAAUGCUUUUGGCAACACCUCAAACUUUUCUAAGUAUAAAAGAAAUCAUAUUGAUGAGAAAUCCUAGAAAUGUGAAGAA